UCCCGGUUUCCCGGGCAGUCCUGCUAAAGUCCCGCUUUCGCAAGCAAUUAACAGCAAGGGUUGCGCUCGUUAAAGGACUUAACCCAACAUCUCACGACACGAGCUGACGACAGCCAUGCAGCACCUGUGUACAUGUCUAGGUUACCCCAGAAAGCUUCGUUUAGGAAGCGAUCAUGCACAUGUCAAACCCAGGUAAGGUUUCUCGCGUAGUAUCGAAUUAAACCACAUGUUCCACCGCUUGUGCGGGCCCCCGUCAAUUUCUUUGAGUUUUAAUCUUGCGAUCGUAAUCCCCAGGCGGAUCACUUAACGCGUUAGCUUCGACACCGAAUCUAAAACGAUCCGACACCUAGUGAUCAUCGUUUACUGCGUGGACUAC
rnacentral:misc_RNA from 1 species